AACUUAUCAAGAGUGGUGGAGGGACUGACCCUGUGAAGCCCGGCAACCUUUUUGCAUGCCAUGCAAAAAAAGGUGCUACUUUCAGCAGAAUGAUCAUCAUUCUGGAAGAUAAGUG
rnacentral:ncRNA from 2 species